rnacentral:pre_miRNA from 1 species
AUGUGACACUUUUCGAAUUUCGAGAUUCAAACAAGUUUAUCUUUGACCGUAAAUUUUUCAUAGAUCUUUUAAAGAUUUUGAAUUAUCAAUUAUUGUAACUUAUAGUACUUUUUACGUAGUUUAUAAAUAUAUAAAUUUUAUUCAAAAAAAUAGAAGAUUUCGUACACAAAUUUCCGGUCAAACUUAAAUUGUUUGACUCUCGAAAAAAUGAAAAGUGUCACAUAA